rnacentral:lncRNA from 1 species
CUACUAAUCCUAUUGUAUUCAUAUUGAUAUGGUGUUUAGCCUAAAAGAAGGUAAUGGGGUGAAAUGUCACAAGAAGCUUUUUCAUGCCUCAAGAUUUGUACCAUGAGUGAGAGAGGUAAGGACACUUUUCAUGAUUUUUUCACUCCUUUUUAUACUAUAUCUGUUUUACUGUAAAGCAUUGAUUCUUGAAGUUUGAGGAUUUGGGGUUUUGGUUGUUUUAGAUUUCAAUAAUCUUAGAGUGAGAGUUGACAGCAAUCAUCCAGAGUCCAUGAACAUUAACAGCAAAUCUAUGAGAGGACAUGAACAUCGUGUUGGUAUAAUAGUGUAAGGUCCUGUGAUCCAGAAUGACUACUAAAAAGUUAAGGGUUUAACUCCUGAGAGUGAUACUUGUUAUAGGAGAAGUCAUGAACCUCCGAAAUGAGUUCAUGAUAUCCUUGGUAGUAUAAGAAAAAAAUUUAAAGGAAGAUUUUUCUUGUCCUACAGGCAUAUCCAUAUAUGGUUGAAUAACACCUUUCAAUGGUUAACUAUUUUUCAUAUGGUUUUGUUGCAACUUAGUACCAACUUGAGAUAAUUUCCAAUUCUUGAAUUUUUACAGCUUGGUUUCCACUAUUCACUCAUUUUAUUUCUAGGUGGGUACUCUACUGUGAUAUUUUCCUUUAUUUUCAUUUUGUAUUCUCUAUGUGAGUUUUUCAUUUCUAGUAAUCACUCUUAAGGAACGAUGAGUUAUUCCUAUGAAAUGCUCCAAUCACCUCUCUGUUUAUUUGAGUAACCUUAAUUAAGGUAAUCCGGUCCCAAUAAGUUAAACAAGAAAGGAUAUAGCUAAGAAAUUCUCAUUUGAGUAACCUUAAUUAACCUUUUGAAUUUUUUCUCUGUAAUUUUUAGGAAGUGAAAUCGACUAACUGAUAUGCCUCAAAUCAUUGGAGUGAUAUAUGCCUUGAGAAGCAACUAACUGACAUGACUAUCAAAUAUGCAGACUUGUUUUUGACAAUCAUUUCUCUGUUGGCUUAUGUUGUGUAGAUUGUACAGGGGUCAAGAUUUUUAAGAACUGAUAUGGUUAUAAGUCUUUUUACCUUCUUUAGUUAUAUUUUCAUCUUUUUUAUAUUUAUAUGUUUUGACAUUGC